AUGUGUAGUGAUUUCACUGGGUGGAUUAAGUAUCGACAAACGGUUCUUCUUGAAGAAUCGGAUAUCACUUUUACGAUGAUUUGUGAUCUUCUGAUUUGUUUGCAUAAGAUAAGCUAGAACAUGUUGCGGGUAUAUGGAGGAUACGAUGGACCACAUCCUGGUGUCAUGUCUUACAACAAAAGCUAUUUGGUGGAUGAUCGGGGUGUAGCUGUAGCUGAACAUGAAUAACCUACACAACUGAUCAUCGGUUAAAGAAAUUUUGCUACAAGUCAGGAAUAUGCAGCUGAAAAAAAAAACAGAAGGAAAGCGAUGGGUAUUGUCAUGGCCACACUAGAAAAUUUUGGUUAAAUAAAAACGGGAAGAUCUUCAAGGGGGCCCAAUUCUCUUAUGUGAAAAGUGGUCUAAGACAUCAAGGAGAGACUUUCUUAUGCUUAAAGCAUAUAGCAAAAAUGGAAAGCAUUAAUAUAGAAUAUUGGUGUAAUAUGGGUGUGAAUGUAUUAGGCGAUUUGAACAAAUUUUGUGAUGUAUGUACCGGCCUUCUAGCUACUGGCUAAUGACAUUUUGAGUAAUGAAAUUGGCAUCUUGUA
rnacentral:lncRNA from 1 species